rnacentral:snRNA from 1 species
AUACUUACCUGGCAGGGGAGACACCUUGAUCAUGAAGGAGGUUUUCCCUGGGUGAGGCUCAGCCAUUGUACUCCGGCUGAGCUGAUCCCUGCUAUGUCCCCAAAUGUGGGAAACUUGACUGCAUAAUUUGUGGUAGUGGGGAACUGCGUGCGUACUUUCCCC